UAAUACGGAGGAUGCAAGCGUUAUCCGGAUUUAUUGGGUUUAAAGGGUGCGCAGGCGGGGAUGUAAGUCAGUGGUGAAAUACUGCCGCUUAACAGUAGGGUUGCCAUUGAUACUGCAUUUCUUGAGUUUGGAUGAGGUAGGCGGAAUGUGUGGUGUAGCGGUGAAAUGCAUAGAUAUCACACAGAACACCGAUUGCGAAGGCAGCUUACUAAUCCAUGACUGACGCUGAGGCACGAAAGCGUGGGGAGCGAACAGGAUUAGAUACCCUGGUAGUCCACGCCGUAAACGAUGUUCACUCGCUGUUUGCGAUAUACGGCAAGCGGCUUAGCAAAAGCAUUAAGUGAACCACCUGGGGAGUACGAUCGCAAGGUUG
rnacentral:rRNA from 1 species